rnacentral:misc_RNA from 1 species
AACUUUUGGCAAUGGAUCUCUUGGCUCUCGCAUCGAUGAAGAACGCAGCGAAAUGCGAUAAGUAAUGUAAAUUGCAGAAUUCAGUGAAUCAUCGAAUCUUUGAACGCACCUUGCGCCCUUUGGCUAUUCUGAAGGGCAUGCCUGUUUGAGUAUCAUGAACACCUCAACUCUCAUGGUCCGCCAUGAUGAGCUUGGACUUUGGGGGUCUUGCCGGCCCAGUGUCGGCUCCUCUCAAAUGGAUCAGCUUGCCAGUGUUUGGUGGCGUCACAGGUGUGAUAACUAUCUACGCUUGUGGUUUUCUGCCAUAUAACCUUCAGUGAUGGAGGUUCUCUGGAGCUCACAGAUGUCUCUCCUUGGGGAGGACAGCUUUUGAACGUUUGAUCUCAAAUCAGGUAGGACUACCCGCUGAACUUAAGCAUAUCAAUAAGCGGAGGCU